CCACAACCUCCUGGUCUUCUAUUUCUCACUCCCUCACUGCUGCUACCUUGAAACACCCCACUCUUCUUUCUCCCACUCCCUAUCUCUCCUCUGGGCUUUUAUUACCUCACUUGUCACUUUAAUAACUCAUUAUUUCCUUCAACUUACCUGUUCCCUAGUCUAUUUUUUUUGAGACAGAGUCUUGUUCUGUUGCCCAGGCUGGAGUGCAGUGGUGUGAUCUUGGCUCACUGCAACCUCUGCCUCCUGGGUUCAAGAGAUUCUCCUGCCUCAGCCUCCUGAGUAGCUGGCAUUACAGGCACACGCCACCACACCCGGCUAAUUUUUUGUAUUUCUAGUAGAGAUGGGGUUUCAACAUAUUGGCCAGGCUGAUCUCAAACUCCUGAUCUCAAGUGAUCCACCCACCUCAGCCUCCCAAAGUGCUGGGAUUAGAGGCGUGAGCCACCGCACCCUGCCUCCCCUAGUCUUUAUAUUACACCUGCCCCACAAUACGAGGGAUGGCCUUGAAUCCAUUUUCUUUUUCUGUCAUACUCAUAUACAGGAUGUUGGGCUCAGUUGAAAAAAAUCACACAACUCUGUACAGAAGGGCAACACAAUACAACAUGGCUUCCAAACUCGAUUAGGCCCUGAGUCACUUGGAAAGCCUUUUAUAGCUCCUUGAUCAGCUUCCCAUCCCAUUUGUCUCUUUUUCUUUUUUAUUUUAUUUUUUUUUUUUUUUUGAGACGGAGUCUCAAUCUGUCGCCCAGGCUGGAGUGCAGUGGCGCAUCUCCGCUCACUGCAAGCUCCGCCUCCCGGGUUCACGCCAUUCUCCUACCUCAGCCUCCCCGCGUAGUUGGGACUACAGGCGCCGGCCACCACGCCCGGCUAAUUUUUUUGUAUUUUUUUUUUUUUAGUAGAGACGGGGUUUCACGGUAUUAACCAGGAUAGUAUCGAUCUCCUGACCUCGUGAUCCACCCGCUUCCGUCUCCCAAAGUGCUGGGAUUACAGGCGUGAGCCACGGCGCCUGUCCUGUCUCAUUUCAAAUACAAUGUCUUCUUUACUUUAAACUUCAAUCUAAAUUUUCUCCCCUCAGUCUCAACAAAAGGACUUGUCUUCUGACCCCAACUGGAAAGCUAUUUUCAGCCAUCUUUAUGAGCUUUUGAUCAACUAGGCUUAUUGUUGAAAGUCCAGUGAGCUACCUCAGGCUUUUCUCUGUGGAAUGACUGUUGCAGAGAACUGCACCUCAGAAGAAUGGAGUUUAAAACUGUGAUGACAUUCUACCUCAUUGAAGAAAUCCUCCAGUGCCAAGGGUGGAUCUCUAAAGAAGGAUUCAAUCCAGGAUCACAUCUUAUAUUUACAAUAACAUGCCUUUUUUCUCCUUCAGUCUGGAACCGUGUCUCAGUCUAUCUUUGUUCUUUAUGACAUUGACAUAUUUUAAAGAAUAAAAGCCAAUUCUUUUAUGCACCAUCUCUUAUUGUGUGUUUGGCUGAUGUUGUCUGUUGAUUAGAUUCAGGUUAUGCAUUUCUGACUGGAAUCAUACAUAAAUGAUGUCCUUUUCAGAGUGUUGUCUCUGGAGACACAUGAUAUCCA
rnacentral:lncRNA from 1 species